AAUCCCAUGGUCACAGGGGUCAUGGCUGCGGCUGGGCCCCCUGGAGUAAGGGGCCCGGUCACAGCUGUGACCCCUGCGACUGUGGU